GAUGAACGCUAGCGGGAGGCCUAACACAUGCAAGCCGAGCGGUAUUUGUUCUUCGGAACAGAGAGAGCGGCGCACGGGUGCGGAACACGUGUGCAACCUGCCUUUAUCUGGGGGAUAGCCUUUCGAAAGGAAGAUUAAUACCCCAUAAUAUAUUGAGUGGCAUCAUUUGAUAUUGAAAACUCCGGUGGAUAGAGAUGGGCACGCGCAAGAUUAGAUAGUUGGUGAGGUAACGGCUCACCAAGUCAAUGAUCUUUAGGGGGCCUGAGAGGGUGAUCCCCCACACUGGUACUGAGACACGGACCAGACUCCUACGGGAGGCAGCAGUGAGGAAUAUUGGACAAUGGGUUAGCGCCUGAUCCAGCCAUCCCGCGUGAAGGACGACGGCCCUAUGGGUUGUAAACUUCUUUUGUAUAGGGAUAAACCUACUCUCGUGAGAGUAGCUGAAGGUACUAGACGAAUAAGCACCGGCUAACUCCGUG
rnacentral:rRNA from 1 species